rnacentral:misc_RNA from 1 species
GAUGAAGAACGCAGCGAAAUGCGAUAAGUAAUGUGAAUUGCAGAAUUCAGUGAAUCAUCGAAUCUUUGAACGCACAUUGCGCCCGCCAGCAUUCUGGCGGGCAUGCCUGUUCGAGCGUCAUUUCAACCCUCGAGCCCGACUUCCUUGCGGAGGACGGCUCGGCGUUGGGGGACGGCACACUCCCCCCGGCUCGCCAGGGACGCCGCCCCCGAAAUUCAGUGGCGGCCCUCGGAGGCGACCUCUGCGUAGUAACUCAACCUCGCAAAGGGAAGCUCCGAGCGGCCACGCCGUGAAACCCCAACUAUAUCAAGGUUGACCUCGAAUCAGGUAGGACUACCCGCUGAACUUAAGCAUAUCAAUAAGCGGAGGA